rnacentral:rRNA from 1 species
GACGAACGCUGGCGGCGUGCUUAACACAUGCAAGUCGAACGGAGUGCUCAUGACAGAGGUUUCGGCCAAUUGAUUGAGUUACUUAGUGGCGGACUGGUGAGUAACGCGUGAGGAACCUGCCUUUCAGAGGGGGACAACAGUUGGAAACGACUGCUAAUACCGCAUGACGCAUGACUGGGGCAUCCCGGACAUGCCAAAGAUUUUAUCGCUGAAAGAUGGCCUCGCGUCUGAUUAGAUAGUUGGCGGGGUAACGGCCCACCAAGUCGACGAUCAGUAGCCGGACUGAGAGGUUGACCGGCCACAUUGGGACUGAGAUACGGCCCAGACUCCUACGGGAGGCAGCAGUGGGGAAUAUUGGGCAAUGGACGCAAGUCUGACCCAGCAACGCCGCGUGAAGG